AGGAACUCGGGUCUACCGUAGGGGAAGCGCAGGGGCAGGUCGGAGCCGCCGCCGCCUCCCCCGCCGUGCUCGCCGCCCGCGCUGCCAGCCAUGAUGCCGCCCAUGAAAUUGGCCACGGCGGACUUGACCCGGAAGUACAGUACAAUCUUUAAUAGGCAUGAGGAAGCUCUUCAUCUCUGGAGAAAGGCCCUUCAGAGGCAAAGUGCCUGAAGCAUCACAGAGACGUGGAGGGGAAAAUGCCUCUUGUUAAGACAUCAGUGCUACUUCCUGCAGUGCCCGAUCUCCCCUCCAUGCCCUUCGCUACCCACAGUGUUUCUAGGCUUAUCGGAGCUGACAAGAUCAAAGCCACUGGUGCUCUUGCCAGUUUGCAAGCAAGAGCACCAAGUGUAUUAAAAAAUAAACAGAAAUACGUGCAGUGAUGUA